UUAAAUUGAAGAGUUUGAUCAUGGCUCAGAUUGAACGCUGGCGGCAGGCCUAACACAUGCAAGUCGAACGGUGACAGGAAGCAGCUUGCUG
rnacentral:rRNA from 1 species